UGAGUCCGCGUCAUUGACUUAAGGAGCAC
rnacentral:piRNA from 1 species